GAUGAACGCUGGCGGCGUGCCUAAUACAUGCAAGUCGAGCGAACAGACGAGGAGCUUGCUCCUCUGACGUUAGCGGCGGACGGGUGAGUAACACGUGGAUAACCUACCUAUAAGACUGGGAUAACUUCGGGAAACCGGAGCUAAUACCGGAUAAUAUAUUGAACCGCAUGGUUCAAUAGUGAAAGACGGUUUUGCUGUCACUUAUAGAUGGAUCCGCGCCGCAUUAGCUAGUUUGUAAGGUAACGGCUUACCAAGGCAACGAUGCGUAGCCGACCUGAGAGGGUGAUAGGCCACACUGGAACUGAGACACGGUCCAGACUCCUACGGGAGGCAGCAGUAGGGAAUCUUCCGCAAUGGGCGAAAGCCUGACGGAGCAACGCCGCGUGAGUGAUGAAGGUCUUCGGAUCGUAAAACUCUGUUAUUAGGGAAGAACAAAUGUGUAAGUAACUAUGCACGUCUUGACGGUACCUAAUCAGAAAGCCACGGCUAACUACGUG
rnacentral:rRNA from 1 species